CCUCCAGGAUAAACGCACUGGGGUUCCUGCACCCCAGGUGAUUUACCUGACGAAUUACGACUUCCAAGUCCUCGACCUGAUGAAUUCCGACCUCCAGGACCAGUGCUCCACAGUUUCUGCGUUUCAGGUCCUUUACAUGGUGAAUUUCGACCUCCAGGACGAGUGCUCCGUAGUUCCUGCUCAGUGCAGUGAGCAGUGAGGGCAUGAGGUAUCUCAUCAAUUGAGAUUGAGUCUGUUUCGCGCUCGGCCGACUAUGGCGUUGUAUUGGAAAAAUUACGUGUCUCACACGUGUGGAUGGGAGAAACAGGACUCGUUGUGAGAAUAAAAACAACGACCAAGGAAAACUGAACAAUUAAAUGAGAGUGAUGAAAAAAACUAGCACUAGAAACUGGCAAGGCUGAUGAAAGAGAAACGAGUAUAUCAACCAAUCAGAGACAACGACGUAUUUGGUGCGAGAGCAUGCAAUAGUAGAUAUAAUGAGUCUGCAGCAGCUCACAAUUAUUUUCCAGUUCGAAUCUCAAGUUCGACUCAGUUCAUACGUUUACGGUUAUGUCACAUUGUCAUACCUAUGUAUCGCGAUGCAAAUAUAUCUGUCAAAUUAUUUGAUAAGUGUUAAGAAAUUAUGAAAUACAGUCUUGUUUUCUGUUUUUCUUAACCAAAACAUUUUUUUAGCACUACAAUUAAAGACAAUCACCGGAAAAUUCAGAAUUAUUGUGAGAAAUUUGUAACAAUAUGGAUACAUUAUUAAUUUACAGUUUUUUUUUCCCAGCUUCAUCACGUUUCACUUUUGGCUAACCAUCCGACAUUAUCCUCUGCACAGCUUUUUCGGAUUAAUGGUAAACAUCGAGGUAAAACCAGUUGCUGCCUCGCAUCGCAGUGUUGGAAAAAAGAAUAAACUAUAAAAAAUAAUUUAUAAAUAAUAGAACAAAUUGUAGAAUGUCAGUACAUUUUUAAUGAAAUCAAGGAGAAAAUGUUUUAAUUGAAAAAUCUUUAUUUCAGCGGACACAAAUAUUGCGGUUCGAACUUUUUGUUAUUUGUUUAGAAGGAAUUUAGUGUGAAACAUUGUAAAUUUGUAGUACUACGGUCAUAAAACUCGUUUUCAAGACACUAUCUGUUCAAAACAAAUCUUCAAAUGUGAAAAGAAAAAUACCGUAAUUUUUCAAAAUCCCACAAAAUCCAUACGGAAGGUAUUAAUGACAAGUCUUUAAAUGCUAUUUAUUUUAAAAUUUAUGAUUUUGGGCUACAAGAGGUUAAGGAAAGUACUCCGCCUCAAUUGCCAACAAUCUUAAGGUAUGAUGAUGUAACACUCCAACCUCUAUAAAUUGUUCGAAAAGCUUACAAUGAAAAGCUUUACAAAAACAAAACUUGUACCCUGCCCAUAUUCAUACAUUUUUAUAAUUUAAUACUCCGAUCAUUAUCGCUGUAAUCAGAGUGUCAUUGCAUAAACAACUCGCAGCCAUUGUUAUAACGCGAGGUUAUCGCAAGAUAUGUAUAUGAGUACCUAUUCAGAAGUGGACAGAUAUAAUACGUAGGUACGAAUGUUAGAAGGAGACGGAAAGUUGAUAUCGCUGGUCUCUGAUUACGAAUAAUCCUUAUUCCAAGUCACACCUACGCUCGCUUACUCGGCAACUUUAUUUCCCCUUUAUGGCAAUUUAAUUGUUGCCCAACGUUUAAUUAGCACUUUAAUCGUAUCGCGGCUUUACGUACAGCUGAUACGGCAAAGGCAUACACGUAUUUAUAACUAUAUACGAAACAGCUUCAUAAAUUGCUGUAGUAAUAGUAAAACAAUAAAGUCAGACUGUUCUUGUAUUGUCGGUUAUUUUUAAUCUUACUGAUAAGUCGCACUAUUGUUCUCUCUUCCCCCUUCCAUUCCGUCAAGCUUGUCAGAGUAUCUCGACGGUUGCGUAGAAUAACCGGCUAUCUCGAGUUCGGCGUGAAAAACCGGCUAUUUCGCGUUUGAAAUUUUUUUCCCGUAAAUUAAAUUGGUAGCACUGUCGGGCUGAAUACGAAACUCGCCAGCGCCUCACAAAAUUCAUACAAGCUCCGUUUUGUGAAUGUGUUCGGCUAGUACGCUGCUCCUUGUGGUUUCAAGCCCUAUCCAACUGUCGCAGAACGACAGCGUUAUUAGCUGACCAGUUAACUGAAGAAUAUAUCCUUAGUCAACGGCUGACCAUCGAAGGGCAUAGCCGCUUGAGUCUGGAAUCGGCAGGAAAGAUGAACUAGCCGAAUUCCUCAAUCUGGAAACAACCGCGCAGUAGAGAGGACGUAUGAGAAUCGCGCUCCGAAAAUUUUGAGUAUCGGGUUCUCUAUCUCCUGGAUCCUACGCUCCACGUCCGCUUCCUGGUGCAACGCGACUUCCAAGACAAGCGCUCCGUGGUUCCUGCGCUCCAGGUCCACUACCCGGCGAAACUCGACUUCAAGGAGAGGACGAGUUGGACGAGGCGGAUUUUUCACGCAAACUCA